rnacentral:lncRNA from 1 species
CAGACGAAGAAAUUGAUGAUUAAGAUGGAAAUAAAUUCAUAAAACGCAUUUAAACCUAACAAGUUGUUAUUGUUGGCAUCUGUUUUGUAGGAUCAAUGAAAGUAGCUGGUUUCUAAAUGCUAACAGUAUCUAAGACUUGCUGAUUUGAAUAGGUCAUUAGUCUAAAUUUCACAUGUUAAGAUAGUCGGUAAGAUAAAUUCGUUACAUAGUGUGCUAGUGACGUAAUACGGUAUAUAUGGG